AGAAAUCUUACUGUGUUAUUGGUUAACAGUGAGUUCAUGUUGCUUUUGGAAGAUUGCAUUAUUGUUCCCAAUUCUUCAGCCUUCCCUGUGUCCCCAUCCUUUGCCAUGUGACUUUGUGGUUCCUCUCACUAGAGGUGGAGUAUACUUCUCUGUCCCACUGGUGUUGGGAUUGGCCAUGUGAUUUGCUUUGGCCAAUGGGAUGUGAGCAGACAUGAUGCUAGCAAGGGCUUCCAAUACGCCGUUGGGUUUUGGCCUCCCCUCUUGUGCUUCUGCAUUGCCGUAAACAUAUCCUGGAUUCGCCACUGUUCCCAGAAGAGUGAUGACAUGUGAAGCAGAGCUGCCUCAACCAACUCACACACCCACAGCACGAGUCCAGGCUGUCCUAGCACACCUGCAGACUUACGAACCUGAGAAAAAGUGCUCCUUGUUCCAUGGCCCUCGGUUUUGGGGUGAUCUGUUAAGCAGCAUUUUUGUGGCAAUGAUUAACGGAUACAUUACUUUUCCAGUGAAGGUAUUUUCAUUUAAACUGGAAUAUUCUGGAGUCCAUGCCUUAAUCCUCUUGCAUGUUUUAUAGAGUUUUGUACAGAGUAGAGAGAAGAUGCUGGGCGAGUGUCUUGUGGGAUCUUAGCAUACACCAGGAGGCAAAAUCUACUAAAGGCAGACACACCUGGAACUACUGUGGCACCUGGGAUGCUCCUUGCAGCCAACGCCAGGAGAAUCGUCCUGGAGGCUUGUCUAGAAGAAUACACGCAGUGAUGGUAGGACUGUGGCAUCAGGAGGACCAAGAAGAAGACAUUCACUCUCUCCAAGGUGCUCCGUAGGGAAGUGAGGCACGUGGGAUAAGCAGAGACCUGGAGCUGGCGGCCUCGAGGAGGGACCCCUAUUGGGAAGCCUGAGCUGCACGAAGAUUGUUUGCCGUGCACAGGUAGCCUUCAUCUGAUGGAAUGGAUUAGGAGCCUAAUUUUGGGGAGGGAACCAUUGUCUUUGAACC
rnacentral:lncRNA from 1 species